rnacentral:lncRNA from 1 species
UUUCAUUCUCGUGGUAAACAAGUCUGUGCGCUAUUUCUUUUUUCCCCCCUUUUGCUCCCCAAUUUCGUGGUAUCCAAUUGUUUUAGUAGCUACUAUCUUGUCUCAUCGCUACAACUCCCGUACGGGCUCGGGAGAGACAAAGGUUUAAAGUCAUGCAUCCUCUGAUACACAACCCAACCAAGCUGCACCAAUGUGUCGGAGGAAACACCGUGCCCCUGGCAACCUUGGUUAGCGCGCACUGCGCCCGGCCCGCCACAGGAGUCGCUGGUGCGCAAUGAGACAAGGAUUUCCCUACCAGCCAAACCCUCCCUAACCCGGACGACGCUAGGCCAAUUGUGCGUCACCCCACGGAACUCCCGGUCGCAGCCGGUUACGACAGAGCCUGGGCGCGAACCCAGAGUCUCUGCUGGCGCUAUGUUGUACACUGGGUCUAUGUUGUACACUGCUUUAUGGCAAGCUCCAGAUCCCUAUCAAUGUGUGAAAGACAGGGUGCAGGACAGGAGCCAGUGCGUGUGUGUCCCCCCCCCCCUAUGGCAAGAACUGAAAAUGUUUUGUCUAGCAAUAAUCAACAACCACAGAGGGAAAAAUGACUUACUACGACUGAUGUGGUUGUCUCCCCUAGCUUUUUAGAGAUGAAUGCAUUAAUUGUAAGUCGCUCUGGAUAAGAGCGUCUGCUAAAUGACUGAAAUGUAAACGUUAAUACACUCUGAAGUGUGGUAUUCUGGAUGUUGCCAAAUGUUUGUUCACUGCUCUCUCACUUCUCUAUCAGGGACAUGUAUACUGGAGUGGACAGGCCACCCACUCAAUCUGUAGUGCUGACAAGCACAAUGGCAGCCUCUUCAGAGUCAUCCUGCCCAAUAUCGCUUUCACUGGUGCCUUGGUUCUCGUUCACCCAGUUCUUCAACCAAAAGGUUUGUCUUUCAGCUCAUGGAGUGAACUGUGUGAUGUUUCCAAGGCACAAAGGCUUAGUCAACCCCAGUUUGUCAUGUUAUUUGACAGAUGGUAUAUCACUUAUGUUUCCAGGCUCUGCUGUAUGUGGAAAUACCAGUAGAGUUUGUCCAUAUGAGUGUGUGCCAUACCUUUUCUCUGGAACAGGCUCUCCCAGCUUCACCUGCGUUUCUCCAACAGGUGAUGAUGUUUCUCACCCACUUCCAGACCCAGCGGUGUCUGAUACAACCUAUGCUGGAAUCCUUUCACUUAUAGUGGUGGUGGUGGAGAGAUGCGUUCAAGCCCUCCAGGACACUCGCCUUCCAAGAUUUCUCCCUGAAAGAGUCCCAGGAUCCACUCAUACAUGGCCCCUGAGACUUGUCCUGUCAAGGACACUCUGCUAAAGCUGGACUUGGACUGCAACUGAGUGUCCCAAGCCACUUGCGUAAGAGAGACCGGUGUCCAGCAGUGCUCCCGCUUGACUGUGGCUUUCCACUUCAGUUUCAAUGAAGGCUAGAAAAUGACUUGUACAAUUGACUUGAACAAUAUUUUCUGUGAAUUUUUUUCCAAGCUAUUGAUUUUCCUGACUUGACUGUAAUUUAAUUAGAAUUGUCCCUAGCCUUGGCGGUCUUCAUGCAUAUCAGUUAUUUAGCUACAGAUUGACACCUCCGCCUAUCUGGGGUACUGUAUCCCUUAUGCAUACAGUUUCAUUGUGACAUCUCAAUGUCCCUUUGCACUCAGUGACUACUCUGUCCAAAGAAAGUUUUGUAAUUCAUAUUUGGACUAAUAUGUAGAUACAUUGUGUGUGUAUCUGUCACUCCACAUUUGAUAGUGUAUGCAAAACAAUGUACCAGCCUUACAACUGAACCAGCCAUACACAGAGACAUGGGUUGUACAUUCUGCUCCCAGUUACAUGCCUCUCUGCUCUUAUCUGGUGUU